CCGCGGCGGCUCAUGAUGUGCCUGGAGAGCGACGGCUCGUCGAGCGGCGGCCCGCCGGGCUGCAGCGGGCGCCUCCGGGUCUCGGCCGCGGCCGGCGCGGGCGACGACGACGAGGAGGACGACGGAGGAGGAGGAGGAGGAAGCGGCGGCGACCGCGGCUGCUGCGGGCGGAGCGGCGAGGUGCAGACCCUGUCGGGCGCCGUCCACGCGCCCCAGGGCGGCGCCGACAAGGCAGCGGCGGCGGCCGCGGGCGCCGCGCCUCCCAGCCUGGGCAGAGCGCGCGUGGCGGCCGCCGCCAUCCUCAGCGUGGGGAACGUCCUCAACUACCUGGACAGGUACACCGUGGCAGGUGUUUUGCUAGACAUUCAGCAACAUUUCGGAGUCAAGGACAGCGGAGCCGGCUUGCUGCAGACAGUUUUCAUCUGCAGCUUCAUGGUAGCAGCCCCAAUAUUCGGCUACCUGGGUGACCGUUUCAACAGGAAAAUUAUUCUCAGCUGCGGCAUUUUCUUCUGGUCGGCCAUCACCUUUUCCAGCUCCUUCAUCACUGAGCAGUAUUUCUGGCUGUUCGUCCUCUCGCGGGGUUUGGUCGGCAUCGGCGAAGCCAGCUACUCCACCAUUGCUCCCACCAUCAUCGGAGACCUCUUCACCAAAAACACCCGGACCCUCAUGCUCUCCGUUUUCUACUUCGCAAUCCCUUUGGGCAGCGGUUUAGGGUACAUCACUGGAUCAAGCGUCAAGCAAGUAGCUGGUGACUGGCACUGGGCCCUUCGGGUCUCCCCACUUUUAGGUAUGAUCACCGGCACACUCAUCUUAAUAUUUGUUCCAGCUGCUAAGAGGGGCAACGCCGAGCAGCUGGGGGCGCAGCUGAAGGCUCGGACCUCGUGGCUGAGGGACAUGAAGGCCUUGAUAAGGAACCGCAGCUACGUCUUUUCCUCUCUGGCUACCUCGGCCGUCUCCUUCGCCACGGGGGCCCUGGGUAUGUGGAUCCCCCUCUACCUCCACCGGGCGCAAGUGGUCCAGAAAACCGCAGAGACCUGCACAUCUCAGCCCUGCGGGACCAAAGACAGCUUGAUCUUCGGAGCUAUCACCUGCUUCACCGGAUUUCUGGGCGUGAUCACCGGGGCCGGCGCAACCAAGUGGUGCCGUUUGAAGACGCAGCGAGCGGAUCCCCUCGUCUGCGCCGUUGGGAUGCUGGGUUCAGCCAUCUUCACUUGCCUGAUCUUCGUUGCGGCAAAGAGCAGCAUUGUGGGAGCCUAUGUCUGCAUUUUUAUCGGUGAGACGCUCUUGUUUUCAAACUGGGCCAUCACUGCUGACAUACUCAUGUACGUGGUUAUUCCUACACGCCGGGCAACUGCAGUAGCUUUGCAAAGCUUCACCUCACACCUUCUGGGAGACGCUGGGAGCCCUUACCUGAUUGGAUUUAUCUCUGACCUGAUUCGCCAGAGCACAAAGGAAUCUCCGCUCUGGGAAUUCCUCAGCUUGGGCUACGCGCUCAUGCUCUGCCCUUUCGUCGUCGUCCUGGGGGGGAUGUUUUUCCUAGCCACGGCCCUCUUCUUCCUGAGCGAUCGAGCCAAAGCAGAGCAACACACGGAUCUGGACCGCCUUGCCACGGGCACCUCCAGUAACUCGGAAGACACAGCCACAUGACCGCUACAACUUGGGAGUAAAUCAACUCAUGAUGCCUCCAGCCUCUGUGAAAGUCUAAGGCGCUGACGUCCCGGAUGAUGAAGGAAAGCUUUUGUGAGCUCCGGCAGCCGCCGAAACCCAAAGCGAGCACCUGCAGGAGACGCCCUCCCCCCUCCAAUCCACCCUUCCCGGAACAUGGAGCCGCGGGAAAUUCAUCCCGGGGAACCAAUUACGCAGCGACAUGGUGUUACUUCAGCCAGAGGAGAGGGGGAGUCCGUUGGAGCACAUCUCAACAGACGUGGAGUCCUGUGCUUUUGCGGUCUUGCGUAAAGAAGAGCUCCCGUCUCCCCUGCUCCAGAGGGAAGGGACCUUCCUGGCUGGCAUCUUUCCCAAAAAGAAGUCACUUGAAGGACUGGUGUACAGCUUUGCUUUCGGCUCCAUGAAGAUGCUCCCUUGGGUCAACGGCGAAGACUCCCUGCCCCAUUGAACACACUGCUGCUCUUGCCAUCCAUCUCUUGUCUCCAUCCAGAGGCGUCAUCCUAGUUGGAGAAGCAGAGCCUCAGCUUUGGGUUGUGAAAGCCAAGAUCCGUUUUGUAUUAUUGAAUCAUGGCAUAGGACACUUCCUGCAGGAGGUCAAAAAGAUUGGGCCGGAUGGGCACAUUCACAUACAUACAUAUAUAUAUUUAAUUUAAAGGUGUUCUUUGCACUAGCAGGAAGCUGCUGGAGCUACCUCAAGGCCACUGCAGGGUUUGGUCUUGGUCAGGAAUUUGGUGUUUCAACUUUCUACUGGGGAAUCCAAGCGUAAUUUCAAGCCCUUUGAGGGGUGGGGAGAAGCAACAGAGAAAGAGGCGGCGUGGGCAGCUUUAGCCGAGAACGUUACCUACCUACUGAUGGUCCUCCGGGUCAGAAA